rnacentral:lncRNA from 1 species
UAAUUUGUGAUAAUAAUCGAUGAAUGAAAAGGAAAUUAAUGUGUUGCUACUAUAAGUGGAAUAUAUUCGCGAGUGCUUUUUGUUGUAUGCCUCCAUUGCACCUGAAUUAUCGGUACACAAUAUUGUAACAAUAUUCGUGAACAACAUUAAUGCAGCUCAAUUGUCUUUGAGUUAUCUAAGAAUAUCAUAAGGGAACAGAGUAGUAUCGUUGAACUCUGUUAACAGUGGAAAGAAAAACCAUAACAACACAAAAUUAAAA